rnacentral:rRNA from 1 species
GACGAACGCUGGCGGCGUGCUUAACACAUGCAAGUCGAACGGAAAGGCCCUGCUUUUGUGGGGUGCUCGAGUGGCGAACGGGUGAGUAACACGUGAGUAACCUGCCCUUGACUUUGGGAUAACUUCAGGAAACUGGGGCUAAUACCGGAUAGGAGCUCCUGCUGCAUGGUGGGGGUUGGAAAGUUUCGGCGGUUGGGGAUGGACUCGCGGCUUAUCAGCUUGUUGGUAGGGUAGUGGCUUACCAAGGCUUUGACGGGUAGCCGGCCUGAGAGGGUGACCGGCCACAUUGGGACUGAGAUACGGCCCAGACUCCUACGGGAGGCAGCAGUGGGGUAUAUUGCACAAUGGGCGGAAGCCUGAUGCAGCAACGCCGCGUGCGGGAUGACGGCCUUCGGGUUGUAAACCGCUUUCGCCUGUGACGAAGCGUGAGUGACGGUAAUGGGUAAAGAAGCACCGGCUAACUACGUG